CCUUAGAAGAUCUGUGCGAUGCCAAGUCGAAUCGUUCCCUGGAUGCGACUUAUCUCAUAGAGAUUCACCUUUCAGAAAAUGACGUCAUAAGCGAUCAUCUGCUGAAUUAUGAUCUCCAGAUUAUGGAUUGUCCUGGAAUCACGAAAUGUCGAGAGCUUGGUGAUAAAGUUAAAGUCUUCUGCGCAGACUCAGAUGUUCAUGUAUUCAUCGUGAAUCCCAAGACAGUCAUGUCACCAGAAGAACGGGAUCAUUUUGUAGAAGUAGGAAAACGUCUUCCUAAGCCCGACAUCAUCGUCGGUUUCACUCAGUGGGAUCUAUCAGCGAGAGAAAAACGCCCUGAAGA